rnacentral:tRNA from 1 species
GGAGAAGUGACCGAGUGGUUUAAGGUGUCAGAUUGCUAAUCUGGAGUGUCUAUAUCUAGGCACCAUGGGUUCAAAUCCCAUCUUCUCCA